CCAAUAGCGUAUAUUAAAGUUGUUGCAGUUAAAAAGCUCGUAGUUGAAUUUCGGGGUCAGUAGGCUGGUCGUGCCAUAGGUAUGCACUGGUCUUACUGAUUCCUCCUUCCUGAUGAACCGUAAUGCCAUUAAUUUGGUGUUGCGGGGAAUCUGGACUGUUACUUUGAAAAAAUUAGAGUGUUUAAAGCAGGCUAACGCUUGAAUACAUUAGCAUGGAAUAAUGAAAUAGGACGUUCGAUCCUAUUUUGUUGGUUUCUAGGAUUGACGUAAUGAUUAAUAGGGAUAGUUGGGGGCAUUAGUAUUCAAUUGUCAGAGGUGAAAUUCUUGGAUUUAUUGAAGACUAACUACUGCGAAAGCAUUUGCCAAGGAUGUUUUCAUUAAUCAAGAACGAAAGUUAGGGGAUCGAAGACGAUCAGAUACCGUCGUAGUCUUAACCAUAAACUAUGCCGACUAGGGAUCGGAUGAUGUUAAUUUUUUAAUGACUCAUUCGGCGCCUUACG
rnacentral:rRNA from 1 species